rnacentral:rRNA from 1 species
CUUGGCGGCCAUAGCGCGGUGGUCCCACCUGAUCCCAUGCCGAACUCAGAAGUGAAACGCCGUAGCGCCGAUG